UGCAGUCUUCAUGGUCAUAUGAUUGCAAUUUGGAGACUUGGUAACUGGUGCACAUUUAUGAUGACUGUAGCAUUUCAGUCACAUAAUCACCAUUUGGAAACUUCACAGCUGGCUUUUGAUCAGUCAAAUCAAUGGGAAAGCUGGCAGGAAGUUGCGAGUUGCACUGAUGAGAUAUGCUUAAUGACCCACAGUGAUUCACUUAACCAGCCAGAACUGACAAACUGAUGUCAUAAAAGUCACAUGAUGUUUUUUCACUUUGCAACCACAUCACUUAGCGAUGGAGUUGCUGAUCCCAAUAAUGAUUAGUAAAUGAAGAUAUCUAUAAUCUAGCCAGAGAAAAGAUACGUAUUUACAGUAUUUGUUUUCACUAUGCUUGUAGUUCAUUCAAUAGCCAAAGAAACAGGGGAAUGUCUGUUCCUGUUCAAAGUUUUCUAAGACUGUUGUGUUUGGAUGGCUAAACUGACUAUUUUUAGAAAACUGUGUAUUUUUGCAGAAACCUAUGGACCCAAUACUCAUAUGCAGGAAACUGUGGGAUGCUGUUACAUCUAGUGUUAAUAGAGUCCCUACAGAAUCUUCCCAGGUAUUGAUGUCAGACGGAUGGAUCAGUCGUUUACUGCAUUCAUUUUUUCCCCUUUUAGAAGAUAUUUAAAUCAGCUAUGUUAGGUAACUUGAUCAAACAGGAGAAAGGGAUAAUACAAACACUUUAAAAACCAAAUGAUUUAUUUAACCAAUUCAGCCUACAGCUGCCUCACUCUAGGUGGCUUACAAUAUAAGAAAAAUACAAACAGCAAUAGCUUACAACAGACAAAAAAUUAGCGAGGGCCUGCACUAGAAAGCAAGAAAACCAACAGAGAAUCAUAAAGGACAUAACAAGCACUGCGACUUCUAGAUACAUGGGGACUACAACUCCCAAAAUUCACAAGCAGUAAACUGCCCAUUCUUGUAAAGCCCUUAGUUUGAGAGACUCCCACUAACUUCUAUCCAGUCACAAGUGCUUUUACAAAUGGCAUCCAUACUGUUCUCCUCGAAAAGAAGUUCAUAGUUUGAAGGUAUCAAAUAAUUCCUCACCAAUUCCAUAAUUGAAUUCUGCACCCAAAACUAUGGUGACUGAGCAUAUUUCCUAUCCCUCAACUUGUGCUUCUUGAUCCUAGAGUUAUUAUUUUUGGAAGACCAAGUGAUCUCUAUGUCCAAGAGCACUCUAGGUGAGUGCAGGUGAGAAUUUUCUCUUCCUGGAGGUUAACUAACCCUAACCCUAACUGUAUUUUAAAUAAACCAUUGUAAGGCUGGGCUAACCACAAUGAACAGAUUGAGAUGCAAGAAAUGAGAAAGCCUUCAAAUGACUGUAAGGCCCAAGAGAUUCAUGGGUAGCUAUCUUAUUCUGAAUCUUUUAAUUCAGAAUUUAAUGUGUUUUAAUAAUGAAAACACAUUAAAUAUAACUCACAAGCCCCAGCUCUGCUUGACCUUACUAUUCAGUAUCUAGCAACAGUUCUCCUGGGGUUUAACCAGGAGCUAAUCAUUAGAAUGAUACGUCUCUGAGCAACUUGACAUAAGGCUUUCAUAUAGCCAACUGUUUAAGAAUAAAGUAUCUCACCUGACCCCUAUCAAUGAAAUGAAGAAAGCCAAGGUUACAAAAUGAGGUCUACUAGAUCAGAUCAAAUUCUAUGUAUUGGUAGUUCUGCAUUCUGACUGCACAUGGGCCAAAGCUCAUUAGCUGGAUAUUUGCCAGCCAACCCAACAAUUUCUCUCCAGAGGCAUUUUGGAAUUGAAGUCAGUGGCAAUCUUGAUUAGUAGCUACUAACAAAAUAAGCCUUGUUUUCUGUGCAAAGUUUCAGGUAAUCAGUAAUGGACUUUUAUGCUCAGUUAUGGCAAUCAAGAUAAAUCCUCAGGUUCAUAAGUCCAAAAGAUACUGGAUGAUAUAAGGAUUUGGGUUUUUAAUAAUGAAAACACAUUAAAUAUAACCCAUGAAUCUCAGCUCUGCCUGACCUUACUAUUCAGUGUCUGGCAACAGUUCCCCUGGAGUUUAACCAGGAGCCUUUUCUAGAUCUACCCGGAGAUGACAGGAAUAAAUCUUGGGAACUUCAAUAUGUAAACAAUGAAUCAUGGCUAUAUCAGGAUCUACAGUAAUUGAUAUGGCUUACAGAUUUCUACACAUUGCUUCAUUGAGUGGUGUUGCCUUAACUGUUUUAUCUCAGCUUUUUAUACUGCAAAAUGCUGAGAUGAUUGAUAAAACCUAUCAGCCAAAAGCCCAAUGAAAUUAUUACAGUAAAUUAGUCAUGUAGACUUCACAUUCUUUGACUAUAGUUUCCAUAGUCUCGUUUUUAAGCCCCUCUUACAAUUAUAUCACACAAUUGUAAAUAUAUACCAAGCUGUGCUUUAUGAUGCUAUCAGUGUAACCUCUCACCUACAUUGGCCAUACAACAGUAUCCAUGAAAUAGCUACUCAUGGAAUCAAAAUAAAGUAACUACUAUGAA